AGUGAACGCUGGCGGUAUGCCUAACACAUGCAAGUCGAACGGCAGCACAGUAAGAGCUUGCUCUUACGGGUGGCGAGUGGCGGACGGGUCAGGAAUACAUCGGAAUCUACUUUUUCGUGGGGGAUAACGUAGGGAAACUUACGCUAACACCGCAUACGACCUACGGGUGAAAGCAGGGGAUCUUCGGACCUUGCGCGAUUGAAUGAGCCGAUGUCGGAUUAGCUAGUUGGCGGGGUAAAGGCCCACCAAGGCGACGAUCCGUAGCUGGUCUGAGAGGAUGGUCAGCCACACUGGAACUGAGACACGGUCCAGACUCCUACGGGAGGCAGCAGUGGGGAAUAUUGGACAAUGGGCGCAAGCCUGAUCCAGCCAUACCGCGUGGGUGAAGAAGGCCUUCGGGUUGUAAAGCCCUUUUGUUGGGAAAGAAAAGCAGCAGGUUAAUACCCCGCUGUUCUGACGGUACCCAAAGAAUAAGCACCGGCUAACUUCGUG
rnacentral:rRNA from 1 species